rnacentral:rRNA from 1 species
AUUGAACGCUGGCGGCAUGCCUUACACAUGCAAGUCGAACGGCAGCACGGGUGCUUGCACCUGGUGGCGAGUGGCGAACGGGUGAGUAAUACAUCGGAACAUGUCCUGUAGUGGGGGAUAGCCCGGCGAAAGCCGGAUUAAUACCGCAUACGAUCUACGGAUGAAAGCGGGGGACCUUCGGGCCUCGCGCUAUAGGGUUGGCCGAUGGCUGAUUAGCUAGUUGGUGGGGUAAAGGCCUACCAAGGCGACGAUCAGUAGCUGGUCUGAGAGGACGACCAGCCACACUGGGACUGAGACACGGCCCAGACUCCUACGGGGGGAAGCAGUGGGGAAUUUUGGACAAUGGGCGAAAGCCUGAUCCAGCAAUGCCGCGUGUGUGAAGAAGGCCUUCGGGUUGUAAAGCACUUUUGUCCGGAAAGAAAUCCUUGGCCCUAAUACGGUCGGGGGAUGACGGUACCGGAAGAAUAAGCACCGGCUAACUACGUG